rnacentral:rRNA from 1 species
CGGGGGGAGCAAGCGUUGUUCGGAUUUACUGGGCGUAAAGGGCGUGUAGGCGGCCACCGCAAGUCGGUUGUGAAAUCUCCGGGCUUAACCCGGAAAGGUCAACCGAUACUGCGGGGCUAGAGUGCAGAAGGGGCAACUGGAAUUCUCGGUGUAGCGGUGAAAUGCGUAGAUAUCGAGAGGAACACCUGCGGCGAAGGCGGGUUGCUGGGCUGACACUGACGCUGAAACGCGAAAGCUAGGGGAGCGAACGGGAUUAGAUACCCCCGGUAGUCCUAGCCUUAAACGAUGAAUGCUUGGUGUCUGGGGUUUUAUAGUCCCCGGGUGCCGUCGCUGACGCUUUAAGCAUUCCGCCUGGGGAGUACGGUCGCAAGACUG